rnacentral:rRNA from 1 species
UGGGGAAUAUUGGACAAUGGGCGAAAGCCUGAUCCAGCAAUGCCGCGUGGAUGAAGAAGGUCUUCGGAUUGUAAAGUCCUUUCGGCGGGGACGAUGAUGACGGUACCCGCAGAAGAAGCCCCGGCUAACUUCGUGCCAGCAGCCGCGGUAAUACGAAGGGGGCUAGCGUUGCUCGGAAUGACUGGGCGUAAAGGGCGCGUAGGCGGUUUGCCAAGUUAGAUGUGAAAUUCCCGGGCUUAACCUGGGGACUGCAUUUGAUACUGGCAGGCUUGAGUGUGGAAGAGGGUCGUGGAAUUCCCAGUGUAGAGGUGAAAUUCGUAGAUAUUGGGAAGAACACCGGUGGCGAAGGCGGCGACCUGGUCCAUAACUGACGCUGAGGCGCGAAAGCGUGGGGAGCAAACA